rnacentral:rRNA from 1 species
AGUGAUCGCUGGCGGUAGGCCUAACACAUGCAAGUCGAACGGCAGCACAGUAAGAGCUUGCCCUUACGGGUGGCGAGUGGCGGACGGGUGAGGAAUACAUCGGAAUCUACUUUUUCGUGGGGGAUAACGUAGGGAAACUUACGCUAAUACCGCAUACGACCUACGGGUGAAAGCAGGGGAUCUUCGGACCUUGCGCGAUUGAAUGAGCCGAUGUCGGAUUAGCUAGUUGGCGGGGUAAAGGCCCACCAAGGCGACGAUCCGUAGCUGGUCUGAGAGGAUGAUCAGCCACACUGGAACUGAGACACGGUCCAGACUCCUACGGGAGGCAGCAGUGGGGAAUAUUGGACAAUGGGCGCAAGCCUGAUCCAGCCAUACCGCGUGGGUGAAGAAGGCCUUCGGGUUGUAAAGCCCUUUUGUUGGGAAAGAAAAGCAGCAGGUUAAUACCCCGCUGUUCUGACGGUACCCAAAGAAUAAGCACCGGCUAACUUCGUG